rnacentral:lncRNA from 1 species
GAAAUAUAAGUUAACAGUUGUUUUUGAGCCCUUUUAACCUUAAUAUAAGUCAAAAAGAGAUAGUUUAUAUAUCAUAAGAUUAAUCUGACUUUUAAAUAAGAUAUUAUAUACAAACUGUUAGGCAAGAAGAUAGAAUUAAACGAAACAUAACAACCAUAGAUAUAUAUGUAAAAAAAUAUUUUCAAUCAUGCUGAAUCCCACAAAGAGCAAAAAAAAAAACAAAAAAUGAUUUGAGAUCUAGCAAAAUAUGUUUAAUCACGCCGCAUGUAUUGUACUUGUCCCC